rnacentral:rRNA from 1 species
CGAUCAGUAGGGGUUCUGAGAGGAAGGUCCCCCACAUUGGAACUGAGACACGGUCCAAACUCCUACGGGAGGCAGCAGUGAGGAAUAUUGGUCAAUGGGCGAGAGCCUGAACAGCCAAGUAGCGUGCAGGAAGACGGCCCUAUGGGCUGUAAACUGCUUUUAUAAGGGAAUAAAGUUAGUCUCGUGAGACUUUUUGCAUGUACCUUAUGAAUAAGGACCGGCUAAUUCCGUGCCAGCAGCCGCGGUAAUACGGAAGGUCCGGGCGUUAUCCGGAUUUAUUGGGUUUAAAGGGAGCGUAGGCCGGAGAUUAAGCGUGUUGUGAAAUGUAGACGCUCAACGUCUGCACUGCAGCGCGAACUGGUUUCCUUGAGUACGCACAAAGUGGGCGGAAUUCGUGGUGUAGCGGUGAAAUGCUUAGAUAUCACGAAGAACUCCGAUUGCGAAGGCAGCUCACUGGAGCGCAACUGACGCUGAAGCUCGAAAGUGCGGGUAUCGAACAGGAUUAGAUACCCUGGUAGUCCGCACGGUAAACGAUGGAUGCCCGCUGUUGGUCUGAACAGGUCAGCGGCCAAGCGAAAGCAUUAAGCAUCCCACCUGGGGAGUACGCCGGCAACGGUGAAACUCAAAGGAAUUGACGGGGGCCCGCACAAGCGGAGGAACAUGUGGUUUAAUUCGAUGAUACGCGAGGAACCUUACCCGGGCUUGAAUUGCAGAGGAAGGAUUUGGAGACAAUGACGCCCUUCGGGGUCUCUGUGAAGGUGCUGCAUGGUUGUCGUCAGCUCGUGCCGUGAGGUGUCGGCUUAAGUGCCAUAACGAGCGCAACCCCUCUCCUUAGUUGCCAUCAGGUUAAGCUGGGCACUCUGGGGACACUGCCACCGUAAGGUGUGAGGAAGGUGGGGAUGACGUCAAAUCAGCACGGCCCUUACGUCCGGGGCUACACACGUGUUACAAUGGCAGGUACAGAGAGACGGUUGUACGUAAGUACGAUCAAAUCCUUAAAGCCUGUCUCAGUUCGGACUGGGGUCUGCAACCCGACCCCACGAAGCUGGAUUCGCUAGUAAUCGCGCAUCAGCCAUGGCGCGGUGAAUACGUUCCCGGGCCUUGUACACACCGCCCGUCAAGCCAUGAAAGCCGGGGGCGCCUAAAGUCCGUGACCGUAAGGAGCGGCCUAGGGCGAAACUGGUAAUUGGGGCUAAGUCGUAACAAGGUA